UACGGAGGGUGCAAGUGUUAUCCGGAUUCACUGGGUUUAAAGGGUGCGUAGGUGGGUUUGUAAGUCAGUGGUGAAAUCUCCAAGCUUAACUUGGAACUGCCGUUGAUACUAUAAAUCUUGAAUGUUGUGGAGGUGAGCGGAAUAUGUCAUGUAGCGGUGAAAUGCGUAGAUAUCAAGAGGAACACCUGCGGCGAAAGCGCUUGUCUGGCCCAAUACUGACGCUGAGGCGCGAAAGCUAGGGGAGCAAACAGG
rnacentral:rRNA from 1 species